AUCGAAUUAUUAUCCAUUUUAAAGCAAUAAUGUACUUUCUUAUUUUUCCAUCUCUGACGUCUUCAUUCCUCUUAGCUACAUUGUAGCAUGUAGUUAUUGAUCAUUAUUAUGUCUCUUGUUUGUAAUUGUGUAGAAAAAGUAAGACUAUGUGCCGACUAUGCGAGUUCACAGGACGACCAAAUUAGAUUUGAAAGGGCGUGCUCUACUUGCUCUACGAUCUUUAAAUCCGGUUGGAUAAACUUUGCGCACAAUAAGAGGGCGGAAUUCGAGGAAUGUAUUAUCCGAUAUUGAUAUCCUGAAAUUUCUCGUUUAACAGACUAUGAUGGAUUACCAGACUGGCGUCAUAUAAGGAUAAGGAGUACACCGGAAAAGAGAUUUUUUAUGGAUGGAUUGAUGAUGCUAAGGUCGCAACAGCUAUUCAUCCCUGCCAUAACCCACACGUAAUAAUAGUGACAUUCCCAAAAGGUCUGGUAAUAGCUGAACGCUCUCUGAGCGACACGAAUGAACGAAGCCUCCAUUCGAAUCCAUCACUAUUGUGUAAAGCCUACGCACGGCACUCCUACCAUGGAACCUUUACACAAAUGAAGAGGCUUACGUCAGUUACGUGCGAUGCAGAGCUAUUCAGCACGCGAUCUCCUAGGGUUGGACACGAGUUUGUUACUGAUGCCGGUUCUCCGCAAUCGUUCCGCUUUUUCGCGAUUGCCCACUGCUUGCUGCUAGCAGCUAGUAAAAUCCACCGCAUCCCCCGGUACGGGUCUGUGAAGCUAUCUUCGUUGUCCUGUUAAGGGCAUGCGCUGUCUGAUGUGCGCGUCAAGUUGCAUCGGUUGAAAAUGAACUUCAAUUCAACUAUGACAAUGAAACAGUUUUUUUUUUGUAGCGGCGCGAAUUGCUGUGUUAUUGCGUGCGUGAAGUGCGUAGUGCUUACUCACGUUUGUUUUCUUCAUUUCCAAUUACAGCGGGGAAUGCCGGGUUUCCAAGACAACGAGAUUCAUCCCGAACUUGAUCAUCUUUUGAUGUCUGCAGCAGACGGCCGUGACUGACACGUAUUGUCGUUUUAUCGCUAUAGGAGCUAGAAGUCGACAAAUUUAGCUGGCGCCUAACUUGCUGGGGAGUUUCAUGUAGCAGAGUCCUCCGUAGAAUCAUGAAGAUAGUAAACUUUUGAAAUCAACACUUUUUCUCUUCAUUUGUCAAACGAAAGGAAGAAACUGUAUUGCCCCUAAGAGAACAAGUCUAUUUAAUUAAUAUGAAUGUUGGUGAGUCACACGGUUUACAUACCCUGGAAAUUGAGGUGACUUACACAUCCAAAUUUCUUCUGAAAUUUGGUUUCAGAAUCAACUAUUUUCUUUACCAUUUCCUCUUCUCAUUAUUCAUUGAAGUUCCACGGGGGUCGUUUUAAAGGUCACUGACUCACAUGUACAAGUGCAAAGUAAGAUCUUUCCCUAUUAUCAGUACCUAUUUGAAAUUUGUGCACGCCGCAUUCAAGUAUUCCCAUAUCUUUUCUGCUGUUUGACUAAUCCUCUUGGCACUUUAACACAAAUCGCAGUAGCUUUAUCCGUAAUUAUUUCCUAAAGGGCGAAGCAUCAACAGGGCUAGCAUCAAAUUUCCAUUAAUAUGCAGUAUGUAUAAGUAGUAUCACACAAUAGAUUAUUAUUCAGUGUUGUAGUACAGCUUGCUGAGUGACAAUAAAUCUUUGUCGCAGUUUGAA